CUGAUGGGCGCGUCCGGGUCAAUUGCGGAAUGCAACACCCGAUCUCCCUUCCCGUCCCCACUGGGAUGCAAGUACGGGAAGGAGAGCGUGUCGCCGUCAG
rnacentral:ncRNA from 1 species